rnacentral:lncRNA from 1 species
AUGAUGUCUUAUUUGUCAGGUGUCAUGGGGUCAUGGAUGCUGGUUUGGAUUCUGUGUGCCACAGUCACUCUGAUGCCUGUGUGUCUUCACGGAGCAAUAUCGGUCCGUUUUAAAACCGGACGGCCUCUGUAUGUUGCGCUCGGACAAACUCUUGUUCUGGAAGCCGUGUUUGAGAAGGAUCCAGAAGACAAGAUAGACAUAGUGACGUGGGACCGCGAGAGAGGAAGAGAGCAUGUCAGGCUGUCACACAGAAACAGAAUAUCUUUGGAGAACGGAGAUGCACUUCUGCGGGUCACUGAUGUUGCAGAAGGGGACUUUGCGAUCUACAAGGUCACUGUUACAGACAGGAACGGAUACCAGCAGCACGACUCAAUAGAAGUGCGAAAGACAGUGGAAUCUCCAAAGGCGUCAAUAACACGUGUGCUGGAGUGCGUUGUGGAUAAUCACGGCAUGACGCAGUGGGACAGCCCUCAGUUUUCUUGGCUGGUUGAUGGUGUUACAGUAACCAAUCAAAGCGCUCUGUUAGCAGAUGGCAGUAGACUAGACAUCUCUAAAAUUAAGGGCGUUAACUACACCUGCAUCAUCAAGAGCAGCCUGGGGACGGUGACUACACAUCAUCAAAUACCAGAAGAAUCGUCAGCGUCUUGGCCCUGUUGUGCAGCACUGAUUGCAGUUGUAGUUUUAACAGCAGUAAUAAUAACACUUGUGGCUGGGUUCAUUGUCAUGAAGAAAUACAAGAUCAAUUCCAUCCUUUAG